rnacentral:rRNA from 1 species
CCUACGGGAGGCAGCAGUCGAGAAUCAUUCACAAUGGGGGAAACCCUGACGGUGCGACGCCGCGUGGGGGAAUGAAGGUCUUCGGAUUGUAAACUCUUGUCAUGUGGGAGCAAAUUAAAAAGAUAGUACCACAAGAGGAAGAGACGGCUAACUCUGUGCCAGCAGCCGCGGUAAUACAGAGGUCUCAAGCGUUGUUCGGAAUCACUGGGAGUAAAGUGUGCGUAGGCUGUUUCGUAAGUCGUGUGUGAAAGGCGCGGGCUCAACCCGCGGACGGCACAUGAUACUGCGAGACUUGAGUAAUGGAGGGGGAACCGGAAUUCUCGGUGUAGCAGUGAAAUGCGUAGAUAUCGAGAGGAACACUCGUGGCGAAGGCGGGUUCCUGGACAUUAACUGACGCUGAGGCACGAAGGCCAGGGGAGCGAAAGGGAUUAGAUACCCGAGUAGUC